rnacentral:rRNA from 1 species
AUACAGAGGGUGCAAGCGUUAAUCGGAAUUACUGGGCGUAAAGCGCGCGUAGGUGGUUGGUUAAGUUGGAUGUGAAAGCCCUGGGCUCAACCUGGGAAUGGCAUUCAAAACUGGCUGACUAGAGUAUGGUAGAGGGAAGGGGAAUUCCAGGUGUAGCGGUGAAAUGCGUAGAUAUCUGGAGGAACAUCAGUGGCGAAGGCGCCUUCCUGGACUAAUACUGACACUGAGGUGCGAAGGCGUGGGUAGCAAACAGGAUUAGAAACCCUAGUAGUCC